AGCAGUCGCCACGGUAAUACGAAGGGGGCUAGCGUUGUUCGGAAUUACUGGGCGUAAAGCGCACGUAGGCGGAUAUUUAAGUCAGGGGUGAAAUCCCAGAGCUCAACUCUGGAACUGCCUUUGAUACUGGGUAUCUUGAGUAUGGAAGAGGUGAGUGGAAUUCCGAGUGUAGAGGUGAAAUUCGUAGAUAUUCGGAGGAACACCAGUGGCGAAGGCGGCUCACUGGUCCAUUACUGACGCUGAGGUGCGAAAGCGUGGGGAGCAAACAGGAUUAGAUACCCCAGUAGUCCCUGUCUCUUAUAC
rnacentral:rRNA from 1 species